UACGUAAGGUGCAAGCGUUGUCCGGAAUUAUUGGGCGUAAAGAGCUUGUAGGCGGUUUGUCGCGUCUGCUGUGAAAUUUCGGGGCUCAACCCCGAACUUGCAGUGGGUACGGGCAGACUAGAGUGUGGUAGGGGAGACUGGAAUUCCUGGUGUAGCGGUGAAAUGCGCAGAUAUCAGGAGGAACACCGGUGGCGAAGGCGGGUCUCUGGGCAACAACUGACGCUGAGGAGCGAAAGCGUGGGGAGCGAACAGG
rnacentral:rRNA from 1 species